rnacentral:rRNA from 1 species
CGCGAGCUGGGUUCAGAACGUCGCGAGACAGUUCGGUCCUUAUCCUUGGUGGGCGUAGGAAACUUGAGGGAGGCUGCCUUUAGUACGAGAGGACCGAGGCGGAUGAACCUCUUGUGAUCCAGUUGUCACGCCAGUGGCAUAGCUGGGUAGCGAAGUUCAGUCGGGAUAAGCGCUGAAAGCAUAUAAGCGCGAAGCCCAGCCCGAGAUAAGGUUUCCCCGAAGGGCACUUGAAGACUACAAGUUUGAUAGGACGGAUGUGUAAGUAUGGCAACAUGCGAGCUAACCGUUACUAAUCGCCCGUUCGGCUUGACUGC